GAUGAACGCUAGCGGCAGGCCUAACACAUGCAAGUCGAGGGAGAAGCCCUUUCUUGGGCAGAAACCCGCGCACGGGUGCGUAACGCGUAUGUAACCUACCUUUUACAGGUGGAGAGUCCGAAGAAAUUUGGGUUAAUACCCCAUAAUAUUAUUGGAUGGCAUCAUUUGAUAAUUAAAACUGCUGUCGCUAUAGGUGGGCAUGCGUCCGAUUAGCUAGUUGGGUGGGUAACGGCACCCCAAGGCUACGAUAGGUAGGGGUCAUGAGAGGGAGAUCCCCCACAAUGGAAACGAGGCAGGGACUAGACUGGUACGGAGGGGAGGGGUGCGGUGUACUGGGCAAUGGUCGGUAGACUGAACCAGCCAUGCCGGGUGCAGGAAUAAUGCGAUAUGAGAUGUAAACUGCUUUUAUAUGAGAAGAAUAAGGCGUACGUGUACGUUGAUGACGGUACCAUAUGAAUAAGCAUCGGCUAACUCCGUG
rnacentral:rRNA from 1 species